AAUCUCUAUCUUCAUCAUCAUCAUCAGGUGAUAUAUUUUUAUGUUGGUAUAUUUAUGGUACUUUAUUUGAGUUAAUUUUUUAUUUUCACAUCAAGAAAGGAGGGUGUGUCGAAGCAUGACUAUGAAAUUUACAUAUUCUCUCUUUCUUUCUAUACAAAACUUCAUCUUUCUUUGUAAAUUCCUCUCAAUUAAGGGCUUCUUUUGGAGAUUUGAUUCAACUGUUGAUCUUUUGUACUGUUUCUCGAAAACCCCUUUUUCUUGUUUUUUUUUUUUUUUUGUUGGAAAAUGUUCUCAGAUUUUGAAGGUAAGAAAUUUGUUUAUUUUUAAUAUUGAAACAAAAACCCAAUUGCAGUAAUGAAUUGAAGAUGUUUUAUUAUUAUUAUUAUUAUUUGUUAUUUGUUUGGUUAAUUUAAAAGUUUGUGGGUUGGUUGAUUAUCUCUCAGAAAUCAUUAAUCUCAAAAUUUGUUUUAGUUUUUUUUUUUUUUUUUGUAUUAAUCAAUUGAAGAUUUUUUUUUUUAUUAGUUUUUUGUUUGGUUAAUACAGAGGUUUGUGGUUUGGUUGAUUAUCUCUUAGAAAUCGUUGAUCUUAAUUUAUUUAUUUUUACUUUUUGCAAAUUCUAGGAAUACCUAUGAUUGAUGUGAUUUUGUUUUUUUCUUUUUCUUUUUUAAUGCUCGGUGGUACUAGGUUUAAGUUUUUUAUGGAUGUUUGGGUGGGCAUUAUUGAAAUUAGUGGGUUUAUUUUGAGAAAUUUAGUUUUCCGACUGAAAAAUUUAUGCUUCUAAAACAACAAGCAUUCAGUUGAGGAAUUGUUAUAAGGUUAAAACCAUACUAGAUUUUAAUUUUGUUGUUUCUACAUUUUUUAAAGAAUGAUUUUAGGCAGUUAGGGUGUGUUCUUUUGUUGCUUUAGGGUUUUUAGGUUGAAAAUUGAUAUGGAUUUAUGUUUAUUAGAUUGAGUUAGAAUUUUUCCCAUGAAUUUAUCUGAGAAGCCAUGAUAUGUAAUUGUGUUUUGAGAUGUUUUAUACUAAUUAGUUUUAUUUGUGUCUGUUUUUGUGCAUUUAUCUGAGAAUUUAUUUUUUGGUUUUAUAUUUUGAAAAAUGGUUUUUGGUUCAUGACUCUUAGAAUUGGAAAGGUUUAAGCCAAGUAGGAUGAGUUAGCUCUGUUACUUUGGAUUUAUUUAAUAUUUACUUUUUUGGGUUCUAUUUUUGGGAUCGGAUUACAUUUGUGAGUCUUUAAAUUUGAGAUGACUCUUAUUUUAUUUUAUUUUUUGUCAAAUGGUACUAUGGUUUUCAAACUACAUAACAAAUGUAAACAUAGGCAUUAUUGAGGCUUGGAGACCAUUGAUGCAGUUCUUUUAAUUAUAUUCCUUUUUACCAGAAUUCAGGAUUGACUUUUGCUCAAAAAUAUUGAUUCUUCAUUUUGGUCUCCUUCAUAGUUAAUGUAAGCAUCACUAUUUCUACAUCUUUGUUAUCUUUGUAAAUAAUUUUUUGGCUUGAAUUUUAUAACAUACUCAUACAAUUCAAAGUUGCAAAAGUCUUGACCCACAAAUUACCAUCUCAUGUGGAUUUGGGAGAUAAGAAAUUUACAAGUUGAAAUACAUUGAGCUUUGAUAAUUCUUACAUAAUGAAGACCUUUUUAUUUGUAAAAUAUAUUCUGAGGGUAUUUCAAUAUUUAUGUUUACAUUUCAUUUUCUUUUAAAUUUUUAAGCAAAUUCAUGGGUCAUAGAGGCUACCAUGGGCUUCAGAAUUGGACUUUAAUAUCUAAGAAGCAUUCCCUUAUUAUAAUACGAAAUGCUUUUGGAAGCUGGUUAUAGAAUUCCUGGGGAAAUGCUAUUAAAUUGAACCUUUUUUUCCCUUCAAUGCCGUAACUUUUAGGAAGAUUUUAACUCAAGUCGUACAGUUUCAUAUGAAAAAAAUUGUCAAAUCUUCUUUUAUGUGAAAUUAUGGAUUUUAAUUAGUGUUUUUCACAACCCUAAUAUUAGGAAUAUUAUUGUUUGUGUUGGAAUACUCAAUUUUCUCUUCAAAUCCUUGAACCCAAUGUACCAUCUCAAACAUUUCUUUUUGUUUUACAAAUGAAUGUUGGAAAUAUGAUAGGCUGAUGAAGGCCAAAGAUUUGAAGAGAAAUGGUUAUAACCCAAUAACCAAUUUAGGGUAGAUUUGGAGAUCAAUCACUAAAUGGUUAAGAUGAUUUCUUUUCCUAGUUUCAUUUGAUUUUGAGUAGAUUUAGUGGCUAUACUUAUAGUAAUAAAUACACAAUACACUGUUUUUCAUGGUGAUCAUGUUAGACUAAGAUUUGUUUAUCAAUCUCUACAUGUGGCUUAUGCCAGAAGUGAAAGCCAUUACUCAAGGCAUAAUCCAUUUUAGGACUUUAUUGAAUGAUGGAUGGACCUUAACUUAAGCAUUUUUCAUGUCUCGAAGUUAAAAUAUUCUUUUAUAUGUUUUUUUUAUAAGUUUGUACGAAAAUUGAGUAUUAAUUAUUGAGUAUAAAUUUUAUGUUGUAGAUGGCCUUGCAAGAAAGUUUAGCUAAAUUCAAGAAGCAACAAGAGAAGUGUCAAUUAACUCUCACUAGCAUUGCAACCGAACCAAGAUCCCUUGAGCCUAGAGUACCUUGAGAUGCAUGUUGGAGCAGUUGAGCCUAGUGAUCGUGCUUUGGUAGCGAUGAUGUAAUUGCUAUUGGUGGUAGUCUUUGUGUAGCUAUGAAUUUACUUGUUAAUCAUUUUGUAAAAGUUUGAACGUUAGUCAUGUAUUCAAAUACUUUGAUCCACUAAUUCUUUUAGAAAUGUUGGUGUUUUUCUCUAUUAUUUUAAGGUGUAUAUUAGUUAUUGCUAUUAGUGGAAAGAAUAGACA
rnacentral:lncRNA from 1 species